rnacentral:rRNA from 1 species
UACGGAGGGUGCGAGCGUUGUCCGGAAUCAUUGGGCGUAAAGGGCGCGUAGGUGGCCCGGUCAGUUCGUGGUGAAAGCGCGGGGCUCAACCCUGCGUCGGCCAUGAAUACUGCCGCGGCUGGAGCACUGUAGAGGCAGGCGGAAUUCCGGGGUGUAGCGGUGGAAUGCGUAGAGAUCCGGAAGAACUCCGGUGGCGAAGGCGGCACGCUGGACCUCUUCUGACGCUGAGGCGCGAAAGCCAGGGGAGCAAAGCG